GUGAAUUAAACAUGCUUGGUGUCUUCGCUUCGGCAAGGCCCUUGCUUAAAUCACAUCCUAACACCUGUGAACUGUAAGACAUAUGAUGAGGUCUUUGGCCAAGUCAUCGUCUGCCCAUUUUUAACAAACAAUUAAUGUAACAAACGUAGUCUUAUUAUAACCUAAUA
rnacentral:misc_RNA from 1 species